GACGAACGCUGGCGGCGUGCCUAAUACAUGCAAGUCGAACGCUGAAGAGAGGAGCUUGCUCUUCUUGGAUGAGUUGCGAACGGGUGAGUAACGCGUAGGUAACCUGCCUUGUAGCGGGGGAUAACUAUUGGAAACGAUAGCUAAUACCGCAUAACAAUGGAUGACACAGGGCAUUUAUGUGAAAGGGGCAAUUGCUCCACUACAAGAUGGACCUGCGGUGUAUUAGCUAGUAGGUGAGGUAAUGGGUCACCUAGGGGAGGUUACAUAGCCGCCCUGGGAGGGUGAGCGGCCACCCUGGGACUGUGACACGGCCCAGACGCCCACGGGAGGGAGCCGUAGUGAAUCUUCGGCAAGGGGUGCAACCCUGACCGAGAAAGGCCGCGUGAGUGAAGAAGGUUUUCGGAUCGUAAAGCUCGGUUGUAAGUUAAGAACGGGUGUGAGAGUGGAAAGUUCACACUGUGACGGUAGCUGAUCAGAAAGCGACGGCUAACUACGUG
rnacentral:rRNA from 1 species